rnacentral:rRNA from 1 species
GCGUUGUUCGGAAUUACUGGGCGUAAAGGGCGCGUAGGCGGCCCUGUCAGUCGGGUGUGAAAGCCCGGGGCUCAACCCCGGAACGGCACCCGAGACGGCAGGGCUGGAGACCGGGAGAGGAGGGUGGAAUAGCCAGUGUAGAGGUGAAAUUCGUAGAUAUUGGCUGGAACACCGGUGGCGAAAGCGGCUCUCUGGCCCGGUUCUGACGCUGAGGCGCGAAAGCGUG